rnacentral:rRNA from 1 species
GCCGCCGCGGUAAUACGUAGGUGGCAAGCGUUGUCCGGAAUCAUUGGGCGUAAAGGGAGCGUAGGUGGAACUUUAAGUCGGACUUAAAAGUGCGGGGCUCAACCCCGUGAUGGGUCCGAAACUGGAGUUCUUGAGUGUAGGAGAGGAAAGCGGAAUUCCCAGUGUAGCGGUGAAAUGCGUAGAUAUUGGGAGGAACACCAGUGGCGAAGGCGGCUUUCUGGACUAUAACUGACACUGAGGCUCGAAAGCCAGGGGAGUGAACGGGAUUAGAUACCCC